CUACGGAGGGGGUUAGCGUUGUUCGGAAUCACUGGGCGUAAAGCGUACGUAGGCGGACUGGAAAGUUGGGGGUGAAAUCCCGGGGCUCAACCCCGGAACUGCCUCCAAAACUUCCAAUCUAGAGAUCGAGAGAGGUGAGUGGAAUUCCAAGUGUAGAGGUGAAAUUCGUAGAUAUUUGGAGGAACACCACUGGCGAAGGCGGCUCACUGGCUCGAUACUGACGCUGAGGUACGAAAGCGUGGGGAGCAAACAGGAUUAGAAACCCUAGUAGUCC
rnacentral:rRNA from 1 species